CGGGGUGAGCUGCAGUCCCCAGAUCUCUUCCACCACAGCAAGCUGGACCCUGACAUGGCCUUCUGUGCCAACGUCCGGCAGCAGGAUGUGUUCAUGUUCCUGACCAACCGGCACACCCUUGGUCAUCUGCUCUCCCUAGACAGCUACCGCACCACCCACCUGCACAACGAUCUCUGGGAGGUGUUCAGCAACCCCGAGGACUGGAAGGAGAAGUACAUCCACCAGAACUACACCAAGGCCCUGGCAGGGAAGCUGGUGGAGACGGUAAGGGCCAUGGACACCCUCUUGGACCAGCCUUGCCUGCUGCAGGGGGCAGGGCACAGAAGGGAAACUGCUUGCCCUGGGGAGUGGGGGACAGCAGG
rnacentral:sRNA from 1 species